rnacentral:rRNA from 2 species
GUGAAGUGUUCGGAUUGCGGCGACGUGGGCGGUUCGCUGCCCGCGACGUUGUGAGAAGUCCACUGAACCUUAUCAUUUAGAGGAAGGAGAAGUCGUAACAAGGUUUCCGUAGGUGAACCUGCGGAAGGAUCAUUG